GACGAAUGCUGGCUGCGUGCUUAACACAUGCAAGUCGAACGGUGAAAGGGAGCUUGCUCCCUGGAUCAGUGGCGAACGGGUGAGUAACACGUGGGCAACCUGCCCCUAACUCUGGGAUAACUCCGGGAAACCGGGGCUAAUACCGGAUACGACCUGGUGCGACAUCGCACCGGGUGGAAAGAACUUCGGUGAGGGAUGGGCCCGCGGCCUAUCAGCUUGUUGGUGGGGUAACGGCCCACCAAGGCGACGACGGGUAGCCGGCCUGAGAGGGCGACCGGCCACACUGGGACUGAGACACGGCCCAGACUCCUACGGGAGGCAGCAGUGGGGAAUAUUGCGCAAUGGGCGAAAGCCUGACGCAGCGACGCAGCGUGAGGGACGAAGGCCUUCGGGUUGUAAACCUCUUUCAGCGGGGACGAAGCGAAAGUGACGGUACCCGCAGAAGAAGCACCGGCUAACUACGUGCCAGCCGCCGCCGUAACAC
rnacentral:rRNA from 1 species